rnacentral:lncRNA from 1 species
GUCACUACUGGGUGGAAGGAAGAAGCGGGCAUUUCUUCCAGGAGGUCACCGUUGGAGUCCCACAGUAGGUCAACCCCAGGCCCUGGGUCCUCGGGAGGAGGAGAAAGAAGAGAAGCAGGAGGUGUGGAGGGUAGGCCAGGACCAGAAGGCACACAGGGUCGGGGCAGUGUGGGAGACCCUGGGGGCUCCCUCAUUUAACCAGCUAACAUCACAGCGUUCAUAAGAACACGCUAUUACUGCAGUUUUAUUACUUUGCUCUGAUUUCAGAAGGCACAACUGAUGACUUUAGGGAACGGAGAAUCUGAGGAAGGCCUCGCAGGAGAGGGUCAGAUGCGAUCGAGUAAAUGUGAGCCGUCUGUAAACUGUAGAGUGCACGCACAGCACCGGUCAGCCCUGGGGUCAGUGUUCCCCUGGUGCUCAGCUCGGCCUCUGCACCUUUUAGUGCUCGGCUGGGCUCUGUGGGGGUCAGGGCUGGGUCUGGUACAUUAGAGGACUUCUACCAAGCCCCUGGCAGUGUCUCAGUUACUAAAUCCAGUUUGCCAGUUACUAAAUCCGCUCUGCCGGUUCCCGAAUCACUCUUCCGCUGGGGCCGGCCAUGUCACGUCAGGCUUUUCAUGCAGGACGGCAGAUGGAUAGACGCUGGGACCAAGUCAUCCUUGGGCCGCGAGACGUCUGACCUUCUGCUGGUGUCUCAGAAGAUGCUAGCUCUCCGUGGCAUGUCUUCCACGCGGUGCUUGGGGACCAGUGGCCUCUAAGGGGCCCCCCUGCCUCAGCGUGGGGAGUGGCCUGGCCAAGGUCUCAGUGUCUGGUUGGAGCCAGGCAUAGGCUCAGGUGUACUGGCUGGAGGCCUCCUGCCCAUGGGCUCUGCCUGUCCUGUGUCCCUGGUCCUUACUGUGUCUUCUGUGUUCCUGGGAGAGACCCCAGGGGCCCUGAGCCCAGCACUGGGGUUGGGGAGUGGGCGGGGAAGAGGGUGGGGAUUAGGGUCCCUGGCUGCAGAACAGCCAGGCCCCAAGUCCCCACUCCACUCCCCUCCCACCGGGCGCCUCAUCCCACACUGACCAUUUCCUGAAGAAAAUUUCCUGAACCGGCCUCCCACCCCGGCUGUCCCAGGAAGCCCAUCCAUCCUUCCGCCUUAAUGCUUUGUGGCUCCAGAAGGAUGGUGGAAGCCGGAAAUCAUGAGUCUCAUUCACAGGCGGCCACACACCGAAGCCGCGGAGACGCCGUGGGAAAGGACUCUGGCCAGCGCGGCCGGCACAGAGGGAGCGGUGUUACCGGGGUAGACGGGAACCGUGGCUGCCCCCAUGCUGGUCUGGGAGAGACGAGGGGCCGGACGAAAGGACAGCAGACUGGCCAUUCAUUCAUUUAUUCAUUCACUCAUUCACAGCGUCUUACUGGGUGCUUCGGACGUGUAAGGUUUUGUGGGUAGUGAAUGCGACAGACCCCAGACAGCAAUCGGAGGGCCACGUGUGUAAGAACUGAGGGACCUAGGCUGGGCGUGGUGUCUCAAGCCUGUAAUCUCAGCACUUUGGGAGGCAGAGGCGGGCGGAUUACGAGGUCAGGAGAUCGAGACCAUCCUGGCUAACACGGUGAAACCCCGUUUCUACUAAAAAUAUAAAAAAUUAGCCGGGCGUGGUGGCGGGCGCCUGUAAUCCCAGCUACUCAGGAGGCUGAGGCAGGAGAAUGGCGUGAACCCGGGAGGCAGAGCUUGCAGUGAGCCCAGAUAGUGCCACUGCACUCCAGCCUGGGCGACAGAGUGAGACUCCAUCUCAAAAAAAACAAAACAAAACAAAACAAAACAAAAACUGAGGAACCCAGUGUAGAUGAGCUAUCCCGGGAAAACAAGUGGGAGUUCUAGGAACAGCAUGGGGAAGGGAUGGUCCCGGCAGGGAGGACCUCUGUGGGUAGCCUUGUUGGAAGAGCUGAAAGGCAGCCAGAGAGGCUGUGCGUGGAUGGAAGCUGAAGAGUAGGUUAGGGGCGUGUGUUUUGUUAACAAAGACUUCAAGCAUUUACUGACCAGGCACAACACUAUGUGCUUCAUAAAUAAAUAUCUCAUUUGAUCCCCAGCAUUCUUAUGAGACAGAUGUUAUUAUCCCAUUUCACAUGUAAGAACAUUGAGGCACAGAGUGGUUAAGUUACUUGCUCAGGGUCACACAGCACGUCGGUGGUAGGCAGGAUUCUGGAGCCACAGGAAUCUGGUAUAUCCCAGGUGCAAUGGAAACCAGUCACGGCUUCAUAGAGGGAAAUCAUCAGAUUAGUAAAUUUUACACACGCCCCCUGGUGCUUUGAGGAGGAGGGAUUCGGACAGGGGCAGCUAAUGGUGGUGGCUGUGAGAUGUGUUGGGUUAACAUUGAUGAGAGUUUGGGAUGGAUGAGUGGAUUCGGAGUAAUGGAAAUGGAGGGCCCAGGCCCGGCCCCUGGAGAUCUAGCUGCAAUAGCUGUUGGCUGGAGAGGCUGUUCACUUAGAUGGGGGAUGGGGUGGGAGGCAGGUGAGAUGAGAGCUCCAGAGUUCAGCCUGGGGCACGGUCAUUGGGUUCAAGAUGCCUUCAGAUGUUGGGGCUUGACAGUGACAGUGGCUGCAGAUACCCAGGACCCAGCAGAGGGCCUGGCACAGCGGGGCCCAGGGACACGUCUGUGAGUCAGGCUGGCACUCAAGUGUGAAUCUGGACAAAGAAGGUGGCAUUGUUGGCAUUGAAUGCUCAGGGGCUGGGUGAAGUCAGCUAGGGAGAGGGGCUCUCAAGGCACCAGGACUGACUCCGUGGGUGAGGGCGGAGGAGGAGACGGCAGAGGCUGAGAGAAUAGCCAGAGACAGGAGGAAGGUCAGCAGAGCCAUGCACAGAAGCCUGGAGAAGAUUUGAGGAAAGGAAGGGCUGGGUGGUCGUCAUUCCCUGCAGCUAGGAGGCAAGGGUGACCCCUGUGUGUUUCAUUCUUCAGAGGAUUGGUGGCUCCAUCUGGUCAGAACCCCAAGUCCAGAGAUGCAUCUGAGCUUCAUGCCAUGGUGCAGGCAGCAGGAGCCAUGGAGCAGGCCUGCGGGGUCACGGCCUGCCUGCUGCUUCCUGGUGUCUCUACCCUGAGCUCAGGGGUUGCUUGGAUGCCCUGUGCUGCAUCCCCCCAGGCGGUGUUCCAGAGAGGAUGAAAGUGGCUAUCUCAAGGUGUGACCAGGAUUCUGAGCAGCUCUUCUGGGAGGUGGGUGCAGUCCAGGUAGGCUGCCUGCAAAGCUAGGACCGAGGGAGCCACAUCCAAGGCACUGUGGGUUCCCAAGGCGAUGGCACUGUGGGCCCACUGCUUCCAGACCUCCUCAACUCCCAGGCUCCUGAGCAGGAGGACUCCUGGGGCAGGGCCU